rnacentral:rRNA from 1 species
UGGGUCUAAAACAUUCGUAGCUUGUUUUGUAGGUCUCUUGUGAAAUCUCAUAUCUCAAGUAUGAGGCGUGCAAGAGAUACUGCUUGACUAGAGACUGGAAGACGCAAAGAGUACGAUGAAGGGAGUGGUUAAAUAUGUUAAUCUUCAUCGGACUAACAAUGGCGAAGGCACUUUGCGAGUACAGAUCUGACAGUGAGGAAUGAAGGCUAGGGGCGCAAAAGGGAUUAGAUACCCCUGUAGUCCUAGCAGUAAACACUGCUCACUAAACAUUUGCACCUCCUCGAGAGGUGUUAGUGCUGUAGCGAAGGCGAAGAGUGAGCUACCUGGGAAGUAUAGUCGCAAGACCGAAACUUAAAGGAAUUGGCGGGGAGGCACUACAACGGGUGACGCGUGCGGUUCAAUUGGACUCUACACCGUGAAUCUCACCAGGACCGACAGCAGAAUGAAGGUCAGUCUAGAGGGCUUACCUGACACGCUGAGAGGAGUUGCAUGGCCGACAUAAGCCUGUGCUGUGAAGUGACUUGUUAAAUCAAGUAACAGGCGAGACCCCUGUCUCUAAUUUCUACGAAAGAACACAUUAGAGAGACUGCCUUGGUAACAAGGAGGAGGGUGGGGACGAUGUUAGGUGAGUACAGCCUGAAUGCCCUGGGCAACACGCGCGCGGCAAUGUCACAUUCAAUGAGAUGCGACUCUGAAAAGAGAAGCUAAUCUCCUAACAUGUGGCCUAGUUCAGAUUGAGGUUUGUAACCCAACCUCAUGACGCUGGAAUCCGUAG